rnacentral:tRNA from 1 species
ACCCAAAUAGCUCAGUUGGAAGAGCGUUAAGACUAUAGAUCGAAAGGUCCCUGGUUCGAUCCCGGGAUUCGGCA